CUUCCGCUGGUUCGCCAUGGCCGUCACCGCCCUGAGCUGAGCAACGCCGCGACGAUUUCACCUCAGACUGCAGCGCCACGGGCAGUCAGGUCAAUCCACGGCCGCAGGUGCCGGGACUGAAGGACUCGGUGGCCUCUACUGGCAGGUGACGAGAUGCCGUGGACUGCCAUCUCCGCCGUGGCUGCCGAUACAGCAUCCGACCCCAACUGUCCAACCUCCUUUAAUUAGUCUGAAGCAAGAUAAUCAACAACUGACUAUGCCCUACAAUGGUUUUCAGCGCCUUCAGAAUCAACAAUCUGCAGUUAGCUAGCAAAGGGAAGGCCGUGGUCAACAUUAUCUCUGCACCCACAAUUGCUAAUGACCGCACCAUUUGAAUUGAUUUAGUUUUCUACUAUUUCAUACUUCUGUUGGAUCAAAUCUUUAGAGGUUUGUUGCCUUUUAGUGUUCCUUCGAAAUGCACAUAUAUGUAGAUAUUCUCAUUCUUACUUUGGUGUGCAUGGAAAUUUGUCUCACAUCGUAAUAUUUGACCCAAAAACAGUGGCACGAGUUGACUCAAUUUAUCUUCUUUGUAUAAAAUGUGUCUUCGGCAAUUCAUCUACGUUCCUCCAAACACCCCUUAAUGCUACUCUAAAUUCCCGUAGGUUACUUGUAGUACCUUAACACAUAAUAAUAUAGAAGUGAGCUUGGCAUCUCCACCAUUCUGUAGAAAUAAAUUGCAAAGAUUCCCAUAUGCAUAUUUAGUUGAAUUAGUUUUAUCAGAGUGUAUGUGCAAUUACAGGAUCAGAGCCUAUCUCACUGCAAUUACAGGACGCGAUGUAGUCUCCAUGGUGAGAACUGACACUCUGUUCCUUCCAGUUCAGAAUGUUUAUGUUACUGAGGACAUAUGAGAACUCCCAUCAUUUCUCAAGUUUGGUGCCACCGGUGCUUUAUUGCCAUGCAGAAGUGUAUUGGUUUUGUAGAGGAAAUAAGAUUGUACAGGUCUAUUCUGGACAGGAUAUAUUUUGUGCAAUAGAGCAUAUAAAUUGUUAUGACCCUUUCUGCAAAACAACAAGUGUUACAUACUCUACGGUAGUGGGGAAGCAGGGGUUGUUUAACUUCCUUUAUUUCUCGGUGACUAAUUUGUUUAUC